UACGAGGGGGGCAAGCGUUGUUCGGAAUUAUUGGGCGUAAAGGGUGCGUAGGCGGUUUGACAAGUCUGAUGUGAAAUCUAUGGGCUCAACCCAUAGUCUGCAUUAGAAACUGUCGGGCUUGAGUAUGGGAGAGGUGAGUGGAAUUUCCGGUGUAGCGGUGAAAUGCGUAGAUAUUGGGAGGAACACCAGUGGCGAAGGCGGUUGCCUGGAGCUUUGCUGACGCUGAGGCGCGAAAAGCGUGGGGAGCGAUCCGG
rnacentral:rRNA from 1 species